GGACGGGAUUUUACCAUGUUUGCCCAGGCUGGUUUCAAACUCAUGAGCUCAAGGUUACAGGCGUGAGCCACUGUGCCCAGCCUGCUCUGCAAUGUGGAUCCACAUGUGAGUCUUCCCUGAGAACAACUGGUAGCCAGUGGUAUUUAGCCUUCUUGAUCUCGAUUCAAGAUUGAUGAAAAUAAUGAAAAUUGUGACUCUAUGCAGAUUGUACCCACUGGGUACCUAGUAUAAGACAUUUUAACACUCAAGUACCCAAGAGAAAGCACCGCUCAAGAGUUUUUGAAAGCAGGAAUGAAACAGGAACAGUUCUUCGUGGUGCUGAUAAUACCAUAAACUGUUUCUGAGGCUCCAGGUGCUUUGCCCGCUGGUGUUAGCCCUGUGUUUAUUGUUUUUAGAGCUGGAACCUAUUGCCUCAGGGCUGAGUGACCGUGAAUUUUCAUAUCGAGGAUAAGAUACCAACUUCCAACAGAACACUGGUGGAAAGUUUGUCUUUUUUCUAACAUUGGACGAUUUCCUUCUCAGGGAGAAAGGAAUCAAUGAUGUAUUAUUUGGCAUAUUUUAAAAUUACCUCCAGGGGCUGCAAUGGAGCGUGAACAGCUACUUUCCAAAGAGUAGAUUAGGAAUCCAUUGAGCACCGGUGCCAAGCCCAGUCAUGCCUCCAACUCUUCAGUGUGAUGUGCUUAUUGACUUAGCAUCUGACAGAGCUGAAAGAGCCUUCAGUGAGUCAUUCUGCACGAUCUCCGUGUCCCUGUUCAACCCAAAUAUCUGGCACUCUCCGACAGAGCCAACCUCUUGCUGCCCUGCUCAACAACUCACAACCGAGGCUGAGCAAUCCCAAGCUCUGCAGUUCAAAGGCUGAGAAGCAGGAGAGCCAAUGGUGCAAGUUUCACUCCAAGUUCCACGUCAGGAAAUCAGUGUUCCAGCUCCAAGGCCAUCAGCUUACAGGUCACUAGACCUUGAGAAGGCACAUUUGGACCUGCCAUCCUGGACUUUGAGCCGGAUGUGGCAACUGGAUCAGAGAACAAAUACGCCUUGGCUUCUGCUUCUGAGGACCUAUCUCUUUUCCAAAGCUGUUCAUUGUAUAAACAUCCUUGGAAAGAUACUCUGGAACAAAGACAGUGAUAACCUCUGCUCUAAGAUGUGCACAAAGGUGAGAAACCCAUGGAAAUUCUCUCCCAAUAUCAGACUGUAUUCUUAG
rnacentral:lncRNA from 13 species